UGGGGAAUAUUGGACAAUGGGCGAAAGCCUGAUCCAGCCAUGCCGCGUGUGUGAAGAAGGCCUUUUGGUUGUAAAGCACUUUAAGCGAGGAGGAGGCUACUUGGAUUAAUACUCUAGGAUAGUGGACGUUACUCGCAGAAUAAGCACCGGCUGACUCUGUGCCAGCAGCCGCGGUAAUACAGAGGGUGCGAGCGUUAAUCGGAUUUACUGGGCGUAAAGCGUGCGUAGGCGGCUUUUUAAGUCGGAUGUGAAAUCCCUGAGCUUAACUUAGGAAUUGCAUUCGAUACUGGGAAGCUAGAGUAUGGGAGAGGAUGGUAGAAUUCCAGGUGUAGCGGUGAAAUGCGUAGAGAUCUGGAGGAAUACCGAUGGCGAAGGCAGCCAUCUGGCCUAAUACUGACGCUGAGGUACGAAAGCAUGGGGAGCAAACAGG
rnacentral:rRNA from 1 species